rnacentral:rRNA from 1 species
UACGGAGGGGGCUAGCGUUGUUCGGAAUGACUGGGCGUAAAGCGCACGUAGGCGGAUAUUCGAGUCGGGGGUGAAAUCCCGGGGCUCAACCCCGGAACGGCCUUCGAUACUGGAUGUCUUGAGGUCUGGAGAGGUGGGUGGAAUUCCGAGUGUAGAGGUGAAAUUCGUAGAUAUUCGGAGGAACACCAGUGGCGAAGGCGGCCCACUGGCCAGAUACUGACGCUGAGGUGCGAAAGCGUGGGGAGCAAACAGG